rnacentral:rRNA from 1 species
UUAGCGGCGGACGGGUGAGUAACACGUGGGCAACCUGCCUGUAAGACUGGGAUAACUUCGGGAAACCGAAGCUAAUACCGGAUAGGAUCUUCUCCUUCAUGGGAGAUGAUUGAAAGAUGGUUUCGGCUAUCACUUACAGAUGGGCCCGCGGUGCAUUAGCUAGUUGGUGAGGUAACGGCUCACCAAGGCCACGAUGCAUAGCCGACCUGAGAGGGUGAUCGGCCACACUGGGACUGAGACACGGCCCAGACUCCUACGGGAGGCAGCAGUAGGGAAUCUUCCGCAAUGGACGAAAGUCUGACGGAGCAACGCCGCGUGAGUGAUGAAGGCUUUCGGGUCGUAAAACUCUGUUGUUAGGGAAGAACAAGUACAAGAGUAACUGCUUGUACCUUGACGGUACCUAACCAGAAAGCCACGGCUAACUACGUGCCAGCAGCCGCGGUAAUACGUAGGUGGCAAGCGUUAUCCGGAAUUAUUGGGCGUAAAGCGCGCGCAGGCGGUUUCUUAAGU